UACAGAGGGUGCGAGCGUUGUCCGGAAUCACUGGGCGUAAAGGGCGCGUAGGUGGCGGCAUAAGGCCGCGGUGAAAGUUCGGGGCUCAACCCUGAAUCGGCCGCGGCGACUGUGUCGCUUGGGCACCGUAGAGGCAGAUGGAAUUCCGGGUGUAGCGGUGGAAUGCGUAGAGAUCCGGAAGAACACCAGUGGCGAAGGCGGUCUGCUGGGCGGUGGGUCCGCGAGGAUCCGAAUAGCCGACACUGAGGCGCGACAGCGUGGGGAGCAAACAGG
rnacentral:rRNA from 1 species